rnacentral:rRNA from 2 species
GGGGAAUAUUGGGCAAUGGGGGAAACCCUGACCCAGCGACGUCGCGUGAGGGAAGAAGGUCUUCGGAUUGUAAACCUUUGUCAACAGGGAAGAAGCAAGUGACGGUACCUGAAGAGGAAGCCACGGCUAACUACGUGCCAGCAGCCGCGGUAAUACGUAGGUGGCGAGCGUUAUCCGGAAUUACUGGGUGUAAAGGGUGUGUAGGCGGGGAUGCAAGUCAGAUGUGAAAUCCAUGGGCUCAACCUAUGGUGUGCAUUUGAAACUGCGUUUCUUGAGUGUGGGAGAGGUAAGCGGAAUUCCUAGUGUAGCGGUGAAAUGCGUAGAUAUUAGGAGGAACACCAGUGGCGAAGGCGGCUUACUGGACCACAACUGACGCUGAGACACGAAAGCGUGGGGAGCAAACA